UACGAAGGGUGCAAGCGUUACUCGGAAUUACUGGGCGUAAAGCGUGCGUAGGCGGUUUGUUAAGUCUGUCGUGAAAGCCCCGGCUCAACCUUUGAACGCCGAUGGAUACUGCCGGGCUAGAGUCCGGAAGAGGCGAGUGGAAUUCCUGGUGUAGCGGUGGAAUGCGCAGAUAUCAGGAGGAACACCAAUAGCGAAGGCAGCUCGCUGGACGGUACUGACGCUGGAGGCGCGAAGCGUGGGAGCGAACAGGA
rnacentral:rRNA from 1 species